rnacentral:rRNA from 1 species
UCCAGACUCCUACGGGAGGCAGCAGUGGGGAAUAUUGCACAAUGGGGGAAACCCUGAUGCAGCAACGCCGCGUGAAGGAAGACGGUUUUCGGAUUGUAAACUUCUGUUCUUAGUGAAGAAGAAUGACGGUAGCUAAGGAGCAAGCCACGGCUAACUACGUGCCAGCAGCCGCGGUAAUACGUAGGUGGCAAGCGUUAUCCGGAUUUACUGGGUGUAAAGGGCGUGUAGGCGGGAAAGCAAGUCAGAUGUGAAAACCACGGGCUCAACCUGUGGCCUGCAUUUGAAACUGUAGUUCUUGAGUACUGGAGAGGCAGACGGAAUUCCUAGUGUAGCGGUGAAAUGCGUAGAUAUUAGGAGGAACACCAGUGGCGAAGGCGGUCUGCUGGACAGCAACUGACGCUGAGGCGCGAAAGCGUGGGGAGCAAACAGGAUUAGAUACCCGGGUAA